ACGCUCGACACCUAUGGAGGCAGCAGUGGGGAAUAUUGCACAAUGGGGGAAACCCUGAUGCAGCGACGCCGCGUGAGCGAAGAAGUAUUUCGGUAUGUAAAGCUCUAUCAGCAGGGAAGAAACUGACGGUACCUGACUAAGAAGCACCGGCUAAAUACGUGUCAGCAGCCGCGGUAAUCUGAGCGGGCUGGCAAGGC
rnacentral:rRNA from 1 species